rnacentral:rRNA from 1 species
UCCUUCCGGUCCUUUCUUUCUCCUUUUUUUUUUUGUUUAAAGGGAGCGUAGGCCGGAGAUUAAGCGUGUUGUGAAAUGUAGACGCUCAACGUCUGCACUGCAGCGCGAACUGGUUUCCUUGAGUACGCACAAAGUGGGCGGAAUUCGUGGUGUAGCGGUGAAAUGCUUAGAUAUCACGAAGAACUCCGAUUGCGAAGGCAGCUCACUGGAGCGCAACUGACGCUGAAGCUCGAAAGUGCGGGUAUCGAACAGG